GACAGAGGCCACAAGCGUUAGGCGGAAUCACUGGGCUUAAAGCGUGUGUAGGCGGAUCGUUAAGUGCCUUGUGAAAUCCCACAGCUUAACUGUGGAACUGCUUGGCAUACUGGCGGUCUUGAGCCAUCUAGGGGUUGCUGGAACAAACGGUGGAGCGGUGAAAUGCGUAGAUAUCGUUUGGAACGCCAAUGGUGAAAACAGGCAACUGGGGAUGUGCUGACGCUGAGACGCGAAAGCCAGGGGAGCAAACGGG
rnacentral:rRNA from 1 species